UUCUGCUAAACACUUUGUGUAUAUACUUAUAGCUGUCUUGGGAGGCACUCCUAUAAUUUAGACCCAUUUUAUUCAUAUGGAAAUUGUGACUAGAAGAAGUGAAGCUACUGGUACAGUCACAGGGUUUUGACCAGUGAGAAAAUACCUGAUCCCAGCCAGCCAGUCAGUCUUCCUCCAGAACUAUACCCUCUGUCUCUGGUCCAUAGGUACGGUUACUGCAGUGAAGGCUCUACAUGUAAAGAAGAGUUCUGACCAUGGAAGAAAAUGUAUGAACACUAACCUAACCUCUCAUUUAAUAGAAAGCUGGGUCCAUAGAGGUCAGUGGCCUGCCUGAGGUUUCCAUAAGUGGUUCAGUGGUACUGAAGCCACUAGAACUUUCUUCCAGGGAGGAUGCUGCCCAUGAGGAUCCCAGGUCCUCAGGAUCCUGAUCGAUGGGUGGAUGUGAAAGCCCUAUGCCAUGUCAGGGUUCACAGAGACUGUGUGCUAUCAAGACAGAGUUCCAGCCCCGGGCAGUGUCAUCCUUACAUACUAUGCUAGCUGUCUUUUCUGUUGCUAUGAUGACACACCCUGACCAAAGGAAAGGUUUAUUUCAUCUUGCAAGUUAUAGUUUGUCAUUGAGGGAAGCCAGGACAGGAACUCACACAAAACCCAUGGAGGAGCAUGGCUUACCGCCUCAUACUCAGAUGGCUUUCUCGGUAGGGUGUCGAGACAUAUCUGCCUAGGGAUGGUGUUAUCCACGGUGACUAGGUCCCCCUCAUCAAUCUUUGAUCAAGACAGUCUCUCACAGACAUGGGCACAGGCAAGUCUGACCUGGACAGUUCCCCAGUUGAGAGUCUCUCUUCCCAACUGAGUCUAGGGUACACCAAGUUGACAGUGAACUAGUCCGGCACAGUGCUAGGUUAGCCAGCCCUCAAGAGGCAGAGGGAGGCAGACUUCUGUGAGUUUAGGGCCAACCUGGUCUAUAUAGUGAGUUCUGACCCAGCCUGGAUUUUAGGGCUUCAUAGUGAGACACACACAACUCCCACCGCCCUCUC
rnacentral:lncRNA from 1 species